rnacentral:RNase_P_RNA from 1 species
CUGUUUCGAGUAAAAUCGAGAGAGAGGAAAGUCCGGGCAACGUAGGGCAUCUCGCUUUCUAACGGAAAGGAAUUUAGGAAUGAAAACCUGAAUUACGGAUUAGUGCAACAGAAAAUAUACCACCAGAUGUAAAUCUGGAAAGGGUGAAAACGUGCGGUAAGAGCGCACGAGCAUUGCAGGCGACUGCAGUGGUUUGUAAACCCCGAGAGUUGAAAGACCAAAUAGGCUAACGCAUGUAGGGCUGCCCGUCCGAUGUUAGUGGGUAGGUCGUUAGAGAUAAACGGCCAGUAAUACUUCGGUUAUUUCAG